CGCCGGAGAGAAGGCGCCCAAGGCGGGCAGAGCGCUCAGUGCUAAAAGCGGGCCGGACCGACGCCAGGGACAAAGGCUCUCCAGGCAAGAGGGGCUGCGGCCCUGUAACGGCGCGCUCGCGAUCGCCGGCCCCGGACCCACCGCCCUUGCAUCUCGCACCCGAGCCUCUGCUCACCCCCAGCCCGCACCCCUUUUUUUGCGGUCCCCGCCGGGAGGCCUGCGAUGGAAGUCCCGCCCCGGCUCGCCCAUGUGCCGCCGCCAUUGUUCCCCGCCGCUCCCGCGCCCCUGGCCUCCCGCAGUCUCUCCCAUUGGCGGCCGCGGGCACCGCGGCAACUCGCCCCUCUCCUCCCUUCACUUGCCGCCGGCUCCGCCCGCCAGGGGGCGCGCCGGGCCCCGCGCCACGUCACCGCGCAGCAGCCCUCCCGAUUGGCGGGCGGGGCGGCUAUAAAGGGAGGGCGCAGGCGGCGCCCGGACCUCUUCCGCCGCCAUUUUAAAUCUAGCUCCAUACAACGCUCCGCUGCCGCCACCACCCCCGCGACCCGGACUGCGCGCCCGCCCGCCCCUGCCGACGGCUCCGCCACCAUGGAGGACAUGAAUGAGUAUAGCAAUAUAGAGGAGUUCGCCGAGGGGUCCAAGAUCAACGCGAGCAAGAACCAACAGGAUGACGGUAAAAUGUUUAUUGGAGGCUUGAGCUGGGAUACAAGCAAGAAAGAUCUGACUGAAUAUUUGUCUCGAUUUGGGGAAGUUGUAGACUGCACAAUUAAAACAGAUCCAGUCACUGGAAGAUCAAGAGGAUUUGGAUUUGUGCUUUUCAAAGAUGCUGCUAGCGUUGAUAAGGUUUUGGAACUAAAAGAACACAAACUGGAUGGCAAAUUGAUAGACCCCAAAAGGGCCAAAGCUUUAAAAGGGAAAGAACCACCUAAAAAGGUGUUUGUGGGUGGAUUGAGCCCAGAUACUUCUGAAGAACAAAUUAAAGAGUAUUUUGGAGCCUUUGGAGAGAUUGAAAAUAUUGAGCUUCCCAUGGAUACAAAAACAAAUGAAAGGAGAGGAUUUUGUUUCAUCACAUACACAGAUGAAGAGCCAGUCAAGAAAUUGUUAGAAAGCAGAUACCAUCAAAUUGGUUCUGGGAAGUGUGAAAUCAAAGUUGCACAACCCAAAGAGGUAUAUCGGCAGCAACAGCAACAACAAAAAGGAGGAAGAGGUGCUGCAGCUGGGGGACGAGGUGGUACUAGGGGUCGUGGCCGAGGUCAGGGCCAAAACUGGAACCAAGGAUUUAAUAACUAUUAUGAUCAAGGAUAUGGAAAUUACAAUAGUGCCUAUGGUGGUGAUCAAAACUAUAGUGGCUAUGGCGGAUAUGAUUAUACUGGGUAUAACUAUGGGAACUAUGGAUAUGGACAGGGAUAUGCAGACUACAGUGGUCAGCAGAGCACUUAUGGCAAGGCAUCUCGAGGAGGUGGCAAUCACCAAAAUAAUUACCAGCCAUACUAAAGAGGAAGACAUUGGAGAAAACAGCGGGAACUUCAUUGCAGGCCGUGUGUCACCCUGACCACGUCUAUCUCUGGGGGUCGCACGUUGCGGGCAGAGCGCAAGGCAUACACCAGAAAACGCUGUCCUGUGGAGAUGCUAAGAAAUCUUCCAGGACGACAUUGAAGAUUGGCCUUCUGUUGCUCUAAUGAUUAUUUUGUAAAAGACUUUAUAGUGUACAAGACACAACUGUGUCCCAACUGUAUAUAGCCGCCAAUUAGUUUUCGUUUUUACUUUGUCCUUUGCUAUGUGUUAUGACUGUGGAUUUGUGUUUAUACAAAUUUUAUUUGUAUGAUUUCUCAUGUUAAACCCCAAAUAAAUGCUUCCUUAUGUGA